GUAGGUGAACCUGCGGAAGGAUCAUUAUUGAUAGAACUUUUCCAAGUUUCUUCAUAUUCCCUGUUUAUAUCAACUACGUUUCUUCCAUCGGACAGGCCUUUUAGGACCCUCUAGCUUGAGCAAAUGCACUUGCUGGGGAGUUGCCGGUGGCGUUUCUAAUAAAAACUUGUCAAUCAUGAACUGUCUGAACUACUUUCAAAUGAAAUAAAACUUUCAACAACGGAUCUCUAGGCUCUU
rnacentral:misc_RNA from 1 species